GACGAACGCUGGCGGCGUGCUUAACACAUGCAAGUCGAACGAUGAAGCCGGAGCUUGCUCUGGUGAAUUAGUGGCGAACGGGUGGGUAACACGUGAGUAACCUGCCCUUGACUCUGGGAUAACUGCUAGAAAUGGUAGCUAAUACCGGAUACGACCCUCGGAGGCAUCUCCAGGGGGUGGAAAGAAUUUCGGUCAAGGAUGGACUCGCGGCCUAUCAGGUAGUUGGUGAGGUAAUGGAUCACCAAGGCGACGACGGGUAGCCGGCCUGAGAGGGUGAUCGGCAUCGCUGGGAGAGAUACACGGCCCAGACUGGUACGGGAGGCAGCAGUGGGUAAUAUUGCACAAUGGGCGCAAGCCUGAUGCAGGAACGCCGCGUGAGGGAUCACGGCCUUCGGGUGGUAAAACUCUUUUAGGAGGGAAGAAGCGAAAGUGACAGUACCUGCAGAAAAAGCACCGGCUCACUACGAGCCUGCAGCCGCGGUAA
rnacentral:rRNA from 1 species